rnacentral:rRNA from 1 species
CCUACGGGGGGCAGCAGUGGGGAAUAUUGCACAAUGGGGGAAACCCUGAUGCAGCGACGCCGCGUGAGUGAAGAAGUAUUUCGGUAUGUAAAGCUCUAUCAGCAGGGAAGAAAAAAGACGGUACCUGACGAAGAAGCCCCGGCUAACUACGUGCCAGCAGCCGCGGCAAGACGCAGGGGGCAAGCGUUAUUCGGAUUUACUGGGAGUAAAGGGAGCGUAGGCGGUAUGGCAAGUCUGAAGUGAAAGCCCAGGGCUGAACCCUGGGACUGCUUUGGAAACUGUUAGACUAGAGUGCUGGAGAGGUAAGUAGAAUGCCUGGUGUAGCGGUGAAAUGCGUAGAGAUUAGGAGGAACACCAGUGGCGAAGGCGGCUUACUGGACAGUAACUGACGUUGAGGCUCGAAAGCGUGGGGAGCAAACAGGAUUAGAUACCCCUGUAGUC